CGAAGAACCUUACCUGGUCUUGACAUCCCGGAGACCCUUAGGAAACUAGGGGUGCUUCCAUCUGGAAGAAUCUGGAGACAGGUGCUGCAUGGCUGUCGUCAGCUCGUGUCGUGAGAUGUUGGGUUAAGUCCCGCAACGAGCGCAACCCUUGCCUUUAGUUGCCAGCAGUUCGGCUGGGCACUCUAAAGGGACUGCCGGUGUUAAACCGGAGGAAGGUGGGGAUGACGUCAAGUCCUCAUGGCCUUUAUGACCAGGGCUACACACGUACUACAAUGGCCGAUACAAAGGGCAGCGACACUGCGAGGUGAAGCCAAUCCCGUAAAAUCGGUCUCAGUCCGGAUUGGAGUCUGCAACUCGACUCCAUGAAGUUGGAAUCGCUAGUAAUCGUGAAUCAGAAUGUCACGGUGAAUACGUUCCCGGGCCUU
rnacentral:rRNA from 1 species